rnacentral:rRNA from 1 species
CAGCAGUGGGGAAUCUUGCGCAAUGGGCGAAAGCCUGACGCAGCCAUGCCGCGUGAAUGAUGAAGGUCUUAGGAUUGUAAAAUUCUUUCACCGGGGACGAUAAUGACGGUACCCGGAGAAGAAGCCCCGGCUAACUUCGUGCCAGCAGCCGCGGUAAUACGAAGGGGGCUAGCGUUGCUCGGAAUUACUGGGCGUAAAGGGAGCGUAGGCGGACAUUUAAGUCAGGGGUGAAAUCCCGGGGCUCAACCUCGGAAUUGCCUUUGAUACUGGGUGUCUUGAGUAUGAGAGAGGUGUGUGGAACUCCGAGUGUAGAGGUGAAAUUCGUAGAUAUUCGGAAGAACACCAGUGGCGAAGGCGACACACUGGCUCAUUACUGACGCUGAGGCUCGAAAGCGUGGGGAGCAAACAGGAUUAGAUACCCUGGUAGUCCACGCCGUAAACGAUGAUUGC